AGACAGCAAAAGUGCCCUGAAGGUCAGUGUGGGAGAAUGCCUCGGAGCACAGUAGCAGAGAGAGUUCCAGACCAGGAGAUGUCAAAAGCAAUGGAGCCCCAGUGGCACCUCCUCUGGCUCCAUCAAAGGCCACAGACCCAUCAGAACCAUUCAGCUUAGCCUGAACCACCCAGAGAGCCACAUGCCUGAAGGCUGUAGCAGUGCUUAGGAAAGUGAGAGGAAGUGGAAACGUGUGAGCAGAGGGCUCAAAGCAACGGGCUCACCACCGGAAAAAAAAAUAAAAAUAAACAUGCUCAGAAA